AUCCCUUGAAAGAAGCUUCAAGCUCAAAACUUGGGCAUUACCAAAUCAAUAAGUUGGUGUCACGUUGCCAGUGACAACGGUUACUGCAUUAAAAAAUAUAUAUAUAUGCCCUCACACUCUCAAAGGAUUAUAUAAAGCAGCUUUGAAGGUUUCAGCCGUUGUAGCCCUCUUUCUCUUUUGGAAUCCUUGUAAAAGAAGACUCGGCGACUCAAAAUAGAAUCUUUAACAGCAUUUUAAUUUUCUUCCAGAAAUUAAGCCCAUGAUUCUCCAGCAUUUACCCAUGAUACGGUAAUUAACAAUAUAAUGACAGAAAUAAAUAGCCAGUAAGAAAAAUAAAACGCCUCAUUUGAACAGCCAAUCCAUCAUUAUUAGAGUUAAUAAUAUUGGAUUACUUACUAGGUAGCUGAUGAUUUUCUCGUGCUACCCACCGAAUCUUUGACAGAUAACGCCACAAUGACUCACAUGAAUCCACCAUGAAACCCUAGAAUCUUGAGAUAAAUCAUGAUUCACUUCGAGGGAAGAUCACGAACACUCACAGCGAAACAAUGCAAGUAGGUGACUGGCAGGGUAAAAAAUCAAAACUUUUUCAAUUCCCUUGUAAAUUGAACUAGCAGCAUUUGGAUUAAAACCCCAGCACUCAAAGAGCCGUGGCUGACCAGCGCAAAUACUUGCUUCUGAUUUGAUAAUGAUAAUGAUAAUGGAUCCAAAGGCUUAAUGGGUAAUACAAGUAAAGGUGAAAACUUUUUACUUGAUACGAAAUUUUGAGGGGAAAAAAGAAGGAACUCGUAAUGAGAAAUGGAGAAUAUAAGAGAGGAGAUAAGCUUUGGCUGCUAAGAGUAGAUGCGGGGCAGUGGUAGAGACUAGAGUGAAAAGAGAGAAGAAGACAGAAGAAAGAGAAUGAGAGAGAGAGAGAGAGAGAGAGAGAGAAAAGAAAAAAAGAAAAAAAAAGUUUGAGAAAAUGGCUUUUGCCAACUAUAUAUAAAUGCUUCUCUCAUUUACAGCUAGCUAGUCAGCCAAACAGGUCGCUGAAUACUCUUAAACCCCACAUGCCCUUCUCUUGUCCUUCCCCUUUUGCCCCUGCAUUUCUUCCAAAAACACCAGUCUCUCAUUUUGCCCGCAGUAAAAGGGGGGACAAUGUUAAUCAUACUAUGAGUAAAUCAUAUUUACGUUAUGUUAUACCAUCACGCCGUGUUCCACUUAACGAAUGUGUCUUUCAUCAUAACGUAUUCUUAUUUUUAUAAUAAUGAUAUAGUUAGCAAUAUUAUCAAUGUUAUAAUAAUCUGCGUUGUCAUAUAAUACAAUACAAUUAAAUACAAUAUUUCUGUCCAUUUACAACUUUCACGUGUUUGUGAAAUUCAUUAUUAUAUAUUAACUUUUAAAAUUAUUAUUUCAUAAAAUACUGUUUAAUUCAUUUUUUAAAAAAAAAAAAAUUGAAUUGAGAUUGAUUGAUGUUCAAUUGAUAAUAGAUUUACAAACUUUAUUACCUUACAUUAGGCGUUGCGCACAUCAAAGAAAUUAAUAAGUUAACCACCACUUUUUCACCAUAUUUCACAACUCCUCUUUUACUGUUUAUUAUAUUUCCAAAUGUUCGAUUAAAUUUAACGACUCUUCUUCGACUAAUGUUUGUUAUCCCAUCAUGUAAAUUGACCAUAGCCUCGAUUUAUGUUAGCGUGUUAAUUUUUUUUGGUUGAUUUUGUCUUUUUUGUGCACUUGUUCAAUUUUCAAAUAGAUUUCAACAGUCGCACCAAGCCUAAUUAAUUUUUUUUUUCCUAGUAAUAUUGAAAAUUAAAUAAGUUGAUUUUGAUACUGGUAAUAUUGAGUUUUUCUUUAAAGCUGUAAUUUGAGUUUAUUAUCGCAAUUUUACUAAUCAUCAAACACGUGAUGAUGUGAAAACCCUUUUGUUCUCUAAUUUUGAAAGUUGACAUUCUCAAUUGCCGACGAAAUAGUUGCACAAAUAAUAUAUAAUAGACAAAUGCUCCUUUCAAAAUCAGUGAACAAAUUGAAGGUCUCUAUCAUCGAAAUUUUUAACCUCACAAUUACAUAAUUAUAUAUAUAUAUAUAUAAAUGCUCAUUAAUUAGAAAAAAUGAACAAGUCUUUAAGAACUUGUGCCUUUCAAAAAACAUUCCCAACAAAUUUAGCAGAAAAGGAAUUCUCAAAUCAUCUAUCUUCUUUUUCUUUAUGUGGCUACCUAUAAAAUUAAAAAAAAUAAAUAAAUAAAUAAAAACUACAAUUGCCAGCCCAUUUAUCUGACUCGUCCCUGCAAUCAUUCCUGUUGGUCCACACUUGCCAAAGCACGCCAUUUGCACGUGCCUCCCAUGUGAUUGUCGCCAUAAUGAUUGUUUUGGUAACUUCCCCCUGCAACAAUCCGAGUAGAUACCGUUUGACCCUGAUUAAGAUUUUAUGUAAUCCGUUUAAAUUAUAAAUUGAUUAAAUUCUAUCUAAAUGGAUUAAUGUUAAUCUCUUUUUAUGAUUUACACCUAUCGGAUUAUGAUUUUAUAUUAUUUUUCUUUUUAAAAAUUUAUCCAAUAAAUGUUAUCGAUGCUUUCUUGAGAUAUAUUUUAACAAAUUAGACACACGUGGAUAGAGUCAAGAAAAAGAAAAACAAAGCAAUUCUUUUUUUUUUUUAAGUUUUUCAACUCCUGAGAUGAAUAUCUAUGUAGACAUAAAAACACAAUAAUUUAGUAAAUUUUUUUAAUAAUGUUAAUGAUUUCAAUUUGAUUCUCAACUUAAGUCCCAAUAUACACGUCACUUUAUCCAAUAGAUGAUAACAUUGAUAACUUAUAAAAUUAAUAUUCCAUUUAAAAGAUGAAUACCACAUCAAUUAAGACUUAAAUAUUGAAAUCAUUAUACUUACACAAAAAUUUUAGUCGAAUAUAUGUAUGCAAAUGAUUUCAUUUUACGAGAGAACUCAACUUUGUAUACUAAUUAGUGUUGAGUGCUUAUAUUGUUUGGGUGGGACUUGCGAGGGCUUUAUCUCAUCCGAUUUUAAUUUUAUUUAUUUCUUGUUGGAUCUAUCACAUUCAAUAUUACAAUUCGAAUUGAUUUGUCGUAUUAAAGUAAACCAAUAUGACCCAUUUAUUAUUCAUAUGAAAAAGUACAAACAAAAUCAACACAAUUAUUGAACAAGUGUAGUGGUGACACAAAUUUAACAUAUUUUAAAGAUAUCAUUACAUAUGGUGCAUAAUAUUUUGGUACUGCCUAUUCAAUCUCUCAUCGUACCUUACUCCAAAUUUACACAUGCACUUUCUAAUUAUUUAGUAGAACAAAUAUCAUAUUAUUAUACUGAAUUCAAAACACAUUAACGAAAUACAUUUACUCCAAAGAACUCCAAAUAUGAACCAAAUAUAGUUAGAUAAACAGGGUAACUUGAAUAUGAUACAAUUAACCAUGUAUAGAUUGACGUAUGCUAUUACAAUACUGCAACUGAUACUUUCCUUAUACAAUUACAUUUAUAAUUCGGACUAAUUCUACGUAAUGUAAAACAAGACAAUACUAAAUAUAAUUUUGUAUAAUUAAAUUGAGUUCAAUUCAAUUCAAUCCAACGUGUUAAAAUUGCGUUACGAGGACCAAAUUGACCCCUCCAUCGAGUGGUACCACUAUUAAAUGCUAAAAUACGCACUUUUAAUACUCGGGGGAAAUACAACAACUAUAGAAAAAGGACCCAUGUCUUUUGGUACUUAACAAGACCAACCAAGGCUCGUGACAAAAGCGUCGCCGCUUCGCUCGCUAGCAAGUAUACGAUUAUUCAACUUAUUCGUGCACUGUGCUCGAAUGGCCUCUUUGUUCUUUGCUGUCUUUCGGGUCCACUUUCAUCUGUCGUUAACAUUUUGCAAUACCAACUUCCUCACAUUCAUAAUAAAUUAUAACUUUUUAGUGUUAAACAAAUAGCUAUGGUGAUGGGUUGAUUUGUUUGGCUGCUAAAAAAAAAAAAAAGAGAAAAAAAAAGUCUCCCUCUAAAUGAUUCCACAAUCUAUGCGACUCUUUUUGUCUUUGUAUUGAAUGUAUUGAUGGCAUGGGAGCAAAGUUCCCCAUUUUCACAUUGUGAAAUUGACCUUUACUUUUAUUACGUGUUGAUUGUCAUCACACAACCGUCACAGCUCACGACACAAGCUAGCUUUGGGGUAAUUGUCAAAACUUUUUACAUUUGUGUGCAUUUGAUACCUUCUUUAGUGGUGAGAAUCGGUAGUGAUUUCUAAUUUUCUACAACACAUAUACAAGACUGCCCACUCCCAUCUCUUUGAAUAAAUGGCUUCAGCCUAAUUGGGGUCAAUGAUUUUAGUUGAAUUGGUAAGAUACGGGAUGGUUCCAUUUUUGUAGUUAAGUAAUGCAUUCGGAAGUAGGCAAUGUACCCAAAGCUUAAAAACAUGCUAAAAAUCUCAAUCUAAAUCCUUUUUUUCAGUGAAAAAUCGAUGUAUCAGCGUACCUGACCGACCUACUUCAGCUAAAGAGAUAAAUCCUCUCUGUACAGACAAGCUGAUUAACAUGUCAUGGAUAUACAUGUUAGUGCAACAAAAGUUGCACUAAAUGAAACAUAAUUUUGAAUGAUAUGAUAAAACAAAUAGCAAGGAAAAAAAUGUGAAUAAACAAAAUGAUAAUAAAACAUUAAUCUCAAAUCAUUUGUGUGGGUGCUAAUUGGGUUAAUUAGUUAAAUAUUAUGUGGAUCCCAUACUAUUAUAGAUGUUGGUGAUGAUAUUUUUUUUCCAAAACUUUUGCAAUAACAUAUGAACGCAUAAUUCUACACUUGUUGAGUUGAAAUACUCAUCGACUAGAUUGUAAGAUGGAAUUACUAAAUAAUUUGACAGGUAUGAAAUUAUAAUACCCGCUACAUGAAUGUCGUUUUAAUGUCUGAUAUGAAAAUGGUGAGAUACUAUUAGAGAACUGAGAUAUACUAUAUAAAUAUACUGAUACCUUGGCACCUUUUUACAUUAAAAGGGCAAAAAAAAAAAACUCGUAUUUUGUAAAUGCACAAUCAUCUGUAUACAUUAAUUAAUUUAAAUUUGUAUGUGAAUCUCGAAGGUGUACUGGACUGACCGAAACCGAAAGUCAUUACAGAGAGUAGGCCCAAUAGAACUAGGCCGAACAUGAGGUCCAUUUGAUUGUUGGGUCAAUAUAUAUACUGGACUUUACCAUUAAUUUGGUCGGUAGAGGGUUAUAGCUGACGAGCUCAACGAGAGUGGGACCAAUCACAAUUAAAACAAGUUGGUAUUAUUUUGUCUUUCAUUUGGUCCUCUCUCUCUCUCUCUCUAUAUUUUCCUCGCGCUCGCCAAGCCAAUAGAGCCAAAAAGGAAAGAAGAGCGGAAACACCGAACACCAUAACAAACACUAGUAAUGACAACAACACCAACAAUGCUAAUCCACCCACAACAGACCCAACAAUUAUCCAGACCUUUGAAUUACUCCUUUCCUUUACUCGGUGGUGGUGGUGGGAAACCUGGUGGUGGUCUUGGGGCAAUGGAUUCAACUACUAUAGAGAAAUGCCCCUGUUGGACAGUUAAACAUGUGUUGCCUGAUACUACAUUGCUGAAGUUUACCAAACCAUGUAAAUCAAACCAAACACACUUGGGAACAGACCCAUCAGGAGCCGGCAUCACAUCUUGGAAUUCAAUCGAUAUGGGGUCACCAGAUGCCCUAAUAUCCAAUUCUGGCAAAUUCUUAGCUGAUAAAUCUGAAGCAUCAUAUGCAAGAAGACCAAGAACAGGAGCCAAGUAAGUGUAUUUGGAUAAUGGAUAAUAUGUACCAGACCAAUUGCCCAAAUUCUGGUACACCAAAACAAGCCUUUCGACAUAGGGGCUCUCAAUAACCCCCAUAGGAAUACGAAACUCUUUGUACAUAUUCACACCUCUAUGUCUUAAGCUGCCACUCCUGAGCCUCAUUGCUGCAAUCUUAAUCCCAGUCAAAUUUGAAGGAACAACCCCUUCAACGGGAAUACCGGUGCUGGGACGAACAAAAGCUCUAUAAGCAUAGUCUUGGAGAAGGGCAUCAAGAGCAGGAGCAGAGCCAGAUUGAGCCACAACAUGCAGUGAAAGAAAGGAAAACAAUGUCAUAGAAACAAGCAUUGCCAGACUUCGAAGAAGCCCCAUCGAUGCUUUUCAAUCCUCCAACUUGCCAAUCAAAUUAACCUUGUAACACUCCAGUGAAAUAUUCAAUACCCACAAAGACUAUAUUAACAAAAUUCCAACACCAACUUAAAUACCUAAGAUCCAAAUCAAACAAUAACAGAAAUGCAGACGGAUAAAUGCGGCAAAUUCCUUGAAAGAAGCUUCAAGCUCAAAACUUGGGCAUUACCAAAUCAAUAAGUUGGUGUCACGUUGCCAGUGACAACGGUUACUGCAUUAAAAUAUAUAUAUAUAUGCCCUCACACUCUCAGAGGAUUAUGUAAAGCAGCUUUGAAGGUUUCAGCCGUUGUAGCCCUCUUUCUCUUUUGGAAUCCUUGUAAAAGAAGACUCGGUGACUCAAAAUAGAAUCUUUAACAGCAUUUUAAUUUUCUCCCAGAAAUUAAGCCCAUGAUUCUCCAGCAUUUACCCAUGAUACGGUAAUUAACAAUAUAAUGACAGAAAUAAAUAGCCAGUAAGAAAAAUAAAACGCCUCAUUUGAACAGCCAAUCCAUCAUUAUUAGAGUUAAUAAUAUUGGAUUACUUACUAGGUAGCUGAUGAUUUUCUCGUGCUACCCACCGAAUCUUUGACAGAUAACGCUGCUGUACCGUACAUCCGCCUUGGCCGUACAGCAGGCAAGUGUGAUUUUACCAAAAUAAUUUAAAAAAUUUUUUUACCAAACACUAAAAUUAAUUUUUAAUUUUUUACAAUCACUUUAAGUCUUCAAAGAUAAACCCUAAUUUGCCCUUAAGUUGGGCACCAUAUUUCAUUUUGGUUCAUGAUUUGAUUUGAUUUCAUAAUUCGCUAGCUAGAUCAUCUAAAGAACAUGGUCCCCAACCAUAUAGAAUCUCAAAAUUGGACUCAUCUGCCCUAUUUUUAUUAGUAAGCAAGUGUGAUUUUACCAAAAUAAUUUAAAAAAUUUUUUUACCAAACACUAAAAUUAAUUUUUAAUUUUUUACAAUCACUUUAAGUCUUCAAAGAUAAACCCUAAUUUGCCCUUAAGUUGGGCACCAUAUUUCAUUUUGGUUCAUGAUUUGAUUUGAUUUCAUAAUUCGCUAGCUAGAUCAUCUAAAGAACAUGGUCCCCAACCAUAUAGAAUCUCAAAAUUGGACUCAUCUGCCCUAUUUUUAUUAGUAAGCAAGUGUGAUUUUACCAAAAUAAUUUAAAAAAUUUUUUUACCAAACACUAAAAUUAAUUUUUAAUUUUUUACAAUCACUUUAAGUCUUCAAAGAUAAACCCUAAUUUGCCCUUAAGUUGGGCACCAUAUUUCAUUUUGGUUCAUGAUUUGAUUUGAUUUCAUAAUUCGCUAGCUAGAUCAUCUAAAGAACAUGGUCCCCAACCAUAUAGAAUCUCAAAAUUGGACUCAUCUGCCCUAUUUUUAUUAGUAAGCAAGUGUGAUUUUACCAAAAUAAUUUAAAAAAUUUUUUUACCAAACACUAAAAUUAAUUUUUAAUUUUUUACAAUCACUUUAAGUCUUCAAAGAUAAACCCUAUAAAGCAGCUUUGAAGGUUUCAGCCGUUGUAGCCCUCUUUCUCUUUUGGAAUCCUUGUAAAAGAAGACUCGGUGACUCAAAAUAGAAUCUUUAACAGCAUUUUAAUUUUCUCCCAGAAAUUAAGCCCAUGAUUCUCCAGCAUUUACCCAUGAUACGGUAAUUAACAAUAUAAUGACAGAAAUAAAUAGCCAGUAAGAAAAAUAAAACGCCUCAUUUGAACAGCAAUCCAUCAUUAUUAGAGUUAAUAAUAUUGGAUUACUUACUAGGUAGCUGAUGAUUUUCUCGUGCUACCCACCGAAUCUUUGACAGAUAACGCCACAAUGACUCACAUGAAUCCACCGUGAAACCCUAGAAUCUUGAGAUAAAUCAUGAUUCACUUCGAGGCAAGAUCACGAACACUCACAGCGAAACAAUGCAAGUAGGUGACUGGCAGCGUAAAAAAUCAAAACUUUUUCAAUUCCCUUGUAAAUUGAACUAGCAGCAUUUGGAUUAAAACCCCAGCACUCAAAGAGCCGUGGCCGAUGGGCACAAAUACUUGCUUCUGAUUUGAUAAUGGAUCCAAAGGCUUAAUGGGUAAUACAAGUAAAGGAGAAAACUUUUUACUUUAAACGAAAUUUUGAGGGGAAAAAAGACGGAACUCGGUAAUGAGAAAUGGGGAAUAUAAGAGAGGAGAUAAGCUUUGGCUGCUAAGUUAGGAUCUAAUAGUAUGCAUCACCUAUAGAGAGUUGACUACCACUCGUGCUCUAGAGCCAUCGAGAAAUUUGUAGGGGUGGCAAACAGCGGGUUUG
rnacentral:lncRNA from 1 species